UCCACGCUGUAAACGAUGUCGAUUUGGAGGUUGUUCCCUUGAGGAGUGGCUUCCGGAGCUAACGCGUUAAAUCGACCGCUGGGGAGUACGGCCGCAAGGUUAAAACUCAAAUGAAUUGACGGGGGCCCGCACAAGCGGUGGAGCAUGUGGUUUAAUUCGAUGCAACGCGAAGAACCUUACCUACUCUUGACAUCCAGAGAAUUUAGCAGAGAUGCUUUAGUGCCUUCGGGAACUCUGAGACAGGUGCUGCAUGGCUGUCGUCAGCUCGUGUUGUGAAAUGUUGGGUUGAGUCCCGCAACGAGCGCAACCCUUAUCCUUUGUUGCCAGCACGUUAUGGUGGGAACUCAAAGGAGACUGCCGGUGAUAAACCGGAGGAAGGUGGGGAUGACGUCAAGUCAUCAUGGCCCUUACGAGUAGGGCUACACACGUGCUACAAUGGCGUAUACAAAGAGAAGCGACCUCGCGAGAGCAAGCGGAACUCAUAAAGUACGUCGUAGUCCGGAUUGGAGUCUGCAACUCGACUCCAUGAAGUCGGAAUCGCUAGUAAUCGUAGAUCAGAAUGCUACGGUGAAUACGUUCCCGGGCCUUGUACACACCGCCCGUCACACCAUGGGAGUGGGUUGCAAAAGAAGUAGGUAGCUUAACCUUCGGGAGGGCGCUUACCACUUUGUGAUUCAUGACUGGGGUGAAGUCGUAACAAGGUAACCA
rnacentral:rRNA from 1 species